UACAGAGGGGGCAAGCGUUGUUCGGAGUUACUGGGCGUAAAGGGCGCGUAGGCGGCCUGCUAAGUCGAACGUGAAAUCCCCGGGCUCAACCCGGGAACUGCGUCCGAUACUGGCAGGCUUGAAUCCGGGAGAGGGAUGCGGAAUUCCAGGUGUAGCGGUGAAAUGCGUAGAUAUCUGGAGGAACACCGGUGGCGAAGGCGGCAUCCUGGACCGGCAUUGACGCUGAGGCGCGAAAGCCAGGGGAGCAAACGGG
rnacentral:rRNA from 1 species